rnacentral:rRNA from 1 species
CAAUAGCGUAUAUUAAAGUUGUUGCAGUUAAAAAGCUCGUAGUUGGAUUUGUGGCGUACGGUGGGUUCCGGGCACUUGUUGUCUGAGUAACUUGCUGUUGCCAUCCUUGGGUGGAACCUGUGUGGCAUUAGGUUGUCGUGCAGGGGAUGCCCAUCAUUUACUGUGAAAAAAUUAGAGUGUUCAAAGCAGGCUUAUGCCGUUGAAUAUAUUAGCAUGGAAUAAUGAGAUAGGACUUUUUUGCUAUUUUGUUGGUUUGCGCAAAGAGGUAAUGAUUAAUAGGGACAGUUGGGGGUAUUCGUAUUCCAUUGUCAGAGGUGAAAUUCUUGGAUUUUUGGAAGACGAACUACUGCGAAAGCAUUUACCAAGGAUGUUCUCAUUAA